rnacentral:rRNA from 1 species
CAAGUCGAACGGCAGCACAGUAAGAGCUUGCUCUUAUGGGUGGCGAGUGGCGGACGGGUGAGGAAUACAUCGGAAUCUACCUUUUCGUGGGGGAUAACGUAGGGAAACUUACGCUAAUACCGCAUACGACCUUCGGGUGAAAGCAGGGGACCUUCGGGCCUUGCGCGGAUAGAUGAGCCGAUGUCGGAUUAGCUAGUUGGCGGGGUAAAGGCCCACCAAGGCGACGAUCCGUAGCUGGUCUGAGAGGAUGAUCAGCCACACUGGAACUGAGACACGGUCCAGACUCCUACGGGAGGCAGCAGUGGGGAAUAUUGGACAAUGGGCGCAAGCCUGAUCCAGCCAUACCGCGUGGGUGAAGAAGGCCUUCGGGUUGUAAAGCCCUUUUGUUGGGAAAGAAAAGCAGUCGAUUAAUACUCGGUUGUUCUGACGGUACCCAAAGAAUAAGCACCGGCUAACUUCGUGCCAGCAGCCGCGGUAAUACGAAGGGUGCAAGCGUUACUCGGAAUUACUGGGCGUAAAGCGUGCGUAGGUGGUUGUUUAAGUCUGUUGUGAAAGCCCUGGGCUCAACCUGGGAAUUGCAGUGGAUACUGGGCGACUAGAGUGUGGUAGAGGGUAGUGGAAUUCCCGGUGUAGCAGUGAAAUGCGUAGAGAUCGGGAGGAACAUCCAUGGCGAAGGCAGCUACCUGGACCAACACUGA